AGUGAACGCUGGCGGUAGGCCUAACACAUGCAAGUCGAACGGCAGCACAGUAAGAGCUUGCUCUUACGGGUGGCGAGUGGCGGACGGGUGAGGAAUACAUCGGAAUCUACUUUUUCGUGGGGGAUAACGUAGGGAAACUUACGCUAAUACCGCAUACGACCUACGGGUGAAAGCAGGGGAUCUUCGGACCUUGCGCGAUUGAAUGAGCCGAUGUCGGAUUAGCUAGUUGGCGGGGUAAAGGCCCACCAAGGCGACGAUCCGUAGCUGGUCUGAGAGGAUGAUCAGCCACACUGGAACUGAGACACGGUCCAGACCCCUACGGGAGGCAGCAGUGGGGAAUAUUGGACAAUGGGCGAAAGCCUGAUCCAGCCAUACCGCGUGGGUGAAGAAGGCCUUCGGGUUGUAAAGCCCUUUUGUUGGGGAAGAAAAGCAGCAGGUUAAUACCCCGCUGUUCUGACGGUACCAAAAGAAUAAGCACCGGCUAACUUCGUG
rnacentral:rRNA from 1 species